GUUGAAACACCAGUUCCCGUACGAUCACCGAAGUUAAGCAACGUUGAGCCUGAUCAGUACCGUUUGGGAAAACCAGGUGCUGUAAG